CUUCUCCUCCUCCUCUUCUUCUUCUCUUCUUAUUUUCUUCUUCUUUGGAUCUAAACGACCUAAUUAUAUCAUUUUGGAGCUAAACUAGCUAAUUAUGUAAUUUUGGAGGAUAAUCAUCUAAGUAUGUCUUUGUUGUGGAAAAUAAGCUAAGGAGAAGAUGAAAGAGGAGAAGAAAGAAGAGAAGAAGAAGGAGAAGAAAAAGGAGAAGAAGAAGAAGAAGAAGAAGGAGGAGGAGGAGGAGAAGAAGAAGAAAAAAAAGAAGAGAAGAAGAAGGAGAAGAAGGAUAAGUAGGAGAAGGAGGAGAAGAAGG
rnacentral:lncRNA from 1 species